rnacentral:rRNA from 1 species
UACAGAGGUCCCAAGCGUUGUUCGGAUUCACUGGGCGUAAAGGGUGCGUAGGUGGUUAGGUAAGUCCGAUGUGAAAUCUCCAGGCUCAACCUGGAAAUGGCAUUGGAUACUAUUUAGCUUGAGGAGUGGAGGGGGGGACUGGAAUUCUCGGUGUAGCAGUGAAAUGCGUAGAUAUCGAGAGGAACACCAGUGGCGAAAGGCGAGUCCCCUGGACACUUCCUGACGCUGAGGUGCGAAAAGCGUGGGGGAGCAAAACAGG